GACGAACGCUGGCGGCGUGCUUAACACAUGCAAGUCGAGCGGAGCGGCGAACGGGUGAGUAACGCGUGAGUAACUGCCCCCCUCUCUGGGAUAACAGUUGGAAACGGCUGCUAAUACCGGAUAGUGGGGGAUGACUCGCGUCCUAUCAGCUUGUUGGUGGGGUAGUGGCCUACCAAGGCGACGACGGGUAGCCGGCCUGAGAGGGCGACCGGCCACAUUGGGCUGAGAUACGGGCCGUAGUCCUACGUGGGGUAGCAGUGGGGAAUAUUGCACACUGGGGGGAACCCUUAUGGAGCAACGCGCGUGCGGAAUGACGGCCGUCGGGUUGUAAACCGCGUUCAGCCAUGACGCGGUAGUGGCAGAAGAAGCACCGGCUAACUACGUGCCAGCAGCCGCGGUAAUUC
rnacentral:rRNA from 1 species